UACAGAGGGUGCGAGCGUUGUUCGGAAUCACUGGGCGUAAAGGGCGCGUAGGCGGCCCUCCUUGUCGCGUGUGAAAGCCCCGGGCUCAACCUGGGAACGGCGCGCGAGACGGGGGGGCUGGAGUUCGGGAGAGGAGCGUGGAAUUCCCAGUGUAGAGGUGAAAUUCGUAGAUAUUGGGAAGAACACCGGUGGCGAAGGCGGCGCUCUGGACCGAGACUGACGCUGAGGCGCGAAAGCGUGGGGAGCAAACAGG
rnacentral:rRNA from 1 species